rnacentral:rRNA from 1 species
GACCGAGGGUGCAAACGUUGUUCGGAAUUACUGGGCGUAAAGCGCGCGUAGGCAGCAGCGUGUGUCGGGCGUGAAAUCCCACGGCUCAACCGUGGAAGUGCACUCGAAACUGCGCAGCUAGAGUCUCGGAGAGGAAGGCGGAAUGCUUGGUGUAGAGGUGAAAUUCGUAGAUAUCAAGCGGAACACCGGUGGCGAAGGCGGCCUUCUGGACGAUGACUGACGCUGAAGCGCGAAAGCGUGGGGAGCAAACGGG